CUCGCUCUUAAAAUCAAGGGCAUCCCUUUUCAAUAUGUGGAAGAAGAUCUCCAGAACAAGAGCCCAGAUCUUCUCAAAUUCAAUCCUGUUUACAAGAAAGUUCCCGUACUCGUCCAUAAUGGAAGACCCAUUUGCGAAUCAGCUCUAAUUUUGGAGUACAUAGAGGAAGUUUGGAACAACAACGGCCCUUCUCUUCUACCUCAAGAUCCUUACAAACGAGCCCAGGUUCGAUUCUGGGCUGAUUACGUUCAGAAACAGGUACAUGUGUUUUAUGCAAUUGCUGGUUUAGCUUGUAUUGCUCUUUUUAAGGAAAGUUUGUAAAUAACCUUGUGUUCUUUUUUGGGUUGGUGCAGGUGUUUGAGGGUUUCUUUUUAUUAAUGAAAACAGAAGGGGAAGCACAAGAGAAAGCCGUUGAAGAUGUGAAAGAGAAGCUGAAAGUUCUUGAAGAACAGGGGUUGAAGAAUUUGUUGGCAGAGGGAAGUACCUUUGUGAAUGGAGAUGAACUUGGAUAUUUGGACAUAGUUAUGUUGACAUUGCUUGGAAUGUACAAGGUUCAUGAAGAGUUUUUUGGAGUGAAAAUUGUGGAAGAAGAGAAGAUCCCAGUUGUGUUCUCAUGGUUGAAUAGAUUGAUAGAACAUCCAUUUGCAAAGGAGUCUGCUCCUCCCAAAGAAAAGGUUUUAGGGUUUCUUCACUUCCUUAGACAAAAAUUCAUACACUCACAGGCUGCUGCUUAAUGCUCUUCACAUGUGUAAUAAUACAACAUAAAUAAACCUUAAUUUUUUCUCUGAAGUUAUUGUAUUGUGUGUUUUACUCUAUGGUUUUCAAUAAUAAAAUUUGAUAUGUUUUCUUCUUUUUAGUGAGCUUUUAUGGUUUUUGAAAUAGUAGAUCAACUUAUAUGAUAAACUGGGUGUGGCUGACAGCAGGAAGUCUUGGGAAUCAUUUAAACUUUUGAACAAGUGGACACAAAUUUAUGUGUAUUUUAUUCCGAAAGAUUCCUCGGCAAAUGAUGUUAGCAAACAAAGUCAUAAUUAACUCUUUGAUCAAAAUUAGUUAUUUUAAUCAAGAUGUGAACAAAAUCUCCAAUUCUCUCGACUGUUUUACAACGAUUGCAAUGGAUGGUGACACUACAUUGACUUGGGAGGAGCUGCCUUGUGGAAUACGAAAGGAGGAGAGGAGACCCCAUUUAAAAUUCCUGAGUAUUCUUAAAACCACCUUCAUCACACAACAUUAACAGCCUAUUUAUGACUGUUAAACCGAUCACAAAACCUCAGAGAAUGAUUAAGAUAUGACAGAUAAAAACAAAGUGGUGCUUUAUGGAUUCUGGGCUUGUCCUUUUGUAAAGAGUGUCGAACUCGCCCUUAAAAUCAAAGGCAUCCCUUUUGCCUAUGUAGAAGAAGAUUUCCUGAACAAAAGCCCAGAGCUUCUCAAAUUCAAUCCUGUUUAUAAGAAAGUUCCUGUACUCGUCCACAAUGAAAGACCCAUUUGCGAAUCAGCUAUAAUUUUGGAGUACAUAGAGGAAGUUUGGAACAACAAUGGCCCUUCUCUUCUACCUCAAGAUCCCUUCAAACGAUCCCAGAUUCGAUUCUGGGUUGAUUUCGUUAAGAAUCAGGUACGUAUAUUUUAUACAAUAAUUGGUGCUCUUGACUUAUAUUGUUCUUCCGGCCAAUACAUCUUUUUAGGCGAAUAACUUUGUUGUGUGUUUUGUGUUGGUGAAGUUGUAUGAUAGUCUACUUUUAUCAAUGAAGACAGAAGGGGAAGCACAAGAGAAAGCCAUGGAAGAAGUGAAAGAGAGGCUGAAAGUUGUUGAAGAACAGGGGUUGAAGAGUUUGUUGGCAGAGGGAAGUCCAUUUGUGAAUGGAGAUGAACUUGGAUAUUUAGACAUAGGGAUGUUGACAAUUCUUGGAAGGUACAAAAUUUACGAAGAGUUUUUUGGAAUGAAAAUUAUGGAAGAGGAGGAGAUCCCAAUUGUAUUCUCGUGGUUGAAUAGAUUGAUAGAGCAUCCUAUUGCAAAGGAGCUGGGAGCUCCUCCCAAGGAAAAGAUUUUGGGGCUUCUUCACAUCACUAGGCAAAGAUUUCUACAAUCCCCUGUUGCUGCUUAAUGCUACAACUCUAUCUGUUUCUGUGCCUUCUCAUCAAAAUCUAUAUUUUGUCUCUAAUGUUGUAUGUGUAUUUCACCCUAUAUGGUCUUCAAUAAUAAUAUCCAAACUUUCUAUAAAACCCAUUGACAUCCUACUUCAUUAUAUAAUUCAAAAUACAGUGACGAUGAAUAUGAAUAUUAAAAAAUGACAGACAAGACUAGGAGUCAUUGUUGACUGACAAGAUAAGGUUAUGGAUCCUUGGUGCAUUAUUAAUUUAAAUAUAUUUUAUGAAUUUCAUAACUUAUAGGAAUAUGUAUUGAUAUAUUCGUAAAAUUGAAAUCUCAGUAUUGAUAUUCACCUCUAUAUUUUUCUUGCUCGAGCUACCUAGAAUUGUUUUGACAUCCUGCAAAGUAGAUAGGCUUUUUGGAUGUCUUAUUUUCUUACUUAAGUUUCCAUGAAGAUGUUGUUUGUCCUUUUUCUUUUAUGAACCUCACUGCAAACAUCAUCUUAAAUUCACCUUAUGGAUUUCUUUAUUAUUAUUAUUAUUAUUAUUUAUUCAUAAAAUUUGAAAUGUAUUUUGUACAUAAACUUACAAUUUAUAUGGAACAAAUCAAACUUCUGAACUAAAAAUACACAUCUCAAACUUAUAAUUUAGUUAUUUGAUUAAAAUUAGAUAUUUUUAGGUAAGAGGUGAACAGAACCUCAACAAACUUGCAGUUCUCGAAAAAUGUAGCCAAGAUUCUGAUGGAGGAGAUGGCUCUUUCUUGUUGAAUCAGAAAUGGAGAAGACCCAUCUAAAGUUCCAGACUAUUCUUAAGACCUUAUUUAUACCUUCCAUGGAAACCACUGAACUCAUCACAAAAAACUUUAAACAUUCUUCAUACAUAAGAUUAAGAGAUGGCUGAGCAAAACAGAGUGGUGCUUUAUGGAAUGUGGGCUAGCCCUUAUGCCAAGAGAAUCCAACUCGCUCUUAAAAUCAAAGGCAUCCCUUUUCAAUAUGUGGAAGAAGAUCUCCCGAACAAGAGCCCAGAUCUUCUCAAAUUCAAUCCUGUUUACAAGAAAGUUCCCGUACUCGUCCAUAAUGGAAGAUCCAUUUGCGAAUCAGCUCUAAUUUUGGAGUACAUAGAGGAAGUUUGGAACAACAAUGGCCCUUCUCUUCUACCUCAAGAUCCUUACAAACGAUCCCAGAUUCGAUUCUGGGCUGAUUACCUUCAGAAACAGGUACAUGUGUUAUAUGCAAUUGCUGGUUUAACUUGUAUUGUUCUUUUAAGGAAAGUUUGUAAAUAAUCUUGUUUUUUUUUUCUUUUUUU
rnacentral:lncRNA from 1 species